rnacentral:rRNA from 1 species
AGUGAACGCUGGCGGUAGGCCUAACACAUGCAAGUCGAACGGCAGCACAGUAAGAGCUUGCUCUUACGGGUGGCGAGUGGCGGACGGGUGAGGAAUACAUCGGAAUCUACUUUUUCGUGGGGGAUAACGUAGGGAAACUUACGCUAAUACCGCAUACGACCUACGGGUGAAAGCAGGGGAUCUUCGGACCUUGCGCGACUGAAUGAGCCGAUGUCGGAUUAGCUAGUUGGCGGGGUAAAGGCCCACCAAGGCGACGAUCCGUAGCUGGUCUGAGAGGAUGAUCAGCCACACUGGAACUGAGACACGGUCCAGACUCCUACGGGAGGCAGCAGUGGGGAAUAUUGGACAAUGGGCGCAAGCCUGAUCCAGCCAUACCGCGUGGGUGAAGAAGGCCUUCGGGUUGUAAAGCCCUUUUGUUGGGAAAGAAAAGCAGCGGGUUAAUACCCCGCUGUUCUGACGGUACCCAAAGAAUAAGCACCGGCUAACUUCGUG